rnacentral:lncRNA from 1 species
UUGAAACCGAACUAACAGCAGAGGCAGAGAAUUAGCAGCUCGCUCCUAAAUGCUCAUUAAUGUACCCAGAUGUUUUCUACAGGACUUUCUUCUCCACCAAUACUGAGGAGGAGGAGGUGAACCUGAGGUAAACUGAAGUUAACAAAAGGCUAAUCAACCAAUCAUGUGGCGCCGGUCACUGUCCUCUUGAUAAAAGAUACCAUCACCAGUUUUUUAAAGGAUUCAUCAAAGGACUUCACCUUCAUCCUUUUGCACUUGGUGAGUUUACAGUUUAUUCGACAACACUUUCUCUGGAAAAACACUGAUCAUCUGAUCAAUAAUUCAUCAUUGUCUAUUUUCUCUCCUGCUCACACACACAGGACGCCGUCGCUUGUUUUAGGAUUCAUCGCGCUGAAUUCAUCACAGCGCAGUAUUGGAUUUCACAACGCCACGUUGUCAAGAAAACUUGGUGGAAUGAUGGGACGUGGGUCGAGAAGAAAUCCAUAAAAUGUUGGGUGUGGAUCUGGACACCCAGGGGCAGACAUCGAACUUAAACCUGAAGAAAACCAAUCCACUUCAUUGAGUCCUUAAUUCGCUGUGCCUGUGGAGAACUGCAGCUUCAUGUGAAGUCAGCGGUGCUGCCUCCAGCUGCUCGCUGACAUUUACAUCAAAGGGUUCAAGGUUCUGCAUCAGGACUCGACUGGAGACCUGUGACCACCGUGUUCGUCCUCGCCGGUAUCACUGAAGCCGUGACGCCGAGUCAGCAGCUCGAGGAGCGACAGGGGGAAAGUUCAGUUGGCUCCACCUGUGAUCACUGGACUGUGCUUUUCUUACUGUGCAACUUUCAGAUUCACAGACGGUUUACGGUCAGAGGACGGACAUGAUCUGUUCAUUUAGAAUGAAAGAGGAAAGUUCUGUGGUCUUGUUUUCCCACUGACACUCAGAGCUUUUAAACACUACAGCUUGACUUUUAUCGGUUGACUGAUCAUUUUUGCCGAUAUGAGUCUUUCACUGACACAUUUCACUAUUUAUCUUU